AAUUUGCUCAACCAUUACCAAAGUCAGGUUUUAGGCUACUCUGAACUCAUUCACUGCUGUGGACAUUUAUAUUCGUCAACUGGGAUCCAACCGUUUACAGCCAGCGACGUCGAGUACGUUUUUUAAAAAGAAACCGGUGUUGUUGGUGAAUCCAACACAUGGUCUACUGCUGAUUACUAAGACCCCUAUCUCAUUGGCCAGGGGACUAGUUGGCAACCUGAUGGCGACUCAAGUCUUCACUGGUUGCAGAGACGAGCCGGGUUGCCAGGGAAGUGUGACUGUUUCACUUCCUGAGCUCAACACAAUGGGAACACCAAGAACCCAUCCAGGAACACCUGACCUUUCAUGGAGCCAAACUCCUUGGUGAAACCUCAACACUGCACCAGCUUUAGCACUCCAGCCCCCACCCCCACCCGGCUUCGCAAACAUAGUGCUACCAUCAGCUCGUUGAUUUGAAUAGGCUGCUGACAUGCCACUAUUCUGUGGGACCUGAUCCCAGAAUGUUCCACAGAGCUAACCUUGGGGACAGAGCACAGGUCCGGACUGUGGGAUAGAUGACAAGGCCGUGAAUGCCACCACUCACUGGC